rnacentral:rRNA from 1 species
AGAUUGAACGCUGGCGGCAUGCCUUACACAUGCAAGUCGAACGGCAGCACGGGAGCAAUCCUGGUGGCGAGUGGCGAACGGGUGAGUAAUACAUCGGAACGUGCCCAAUCGUGGGGGAUAACGCAGCGAAAGCUGUGCUAAUACCGCAUAAGACCUACGGAUGAAAGCAGGGGAUCGCAAGACCUUGCGCGAAUGGAGCGGCCGAUGGCAGAUUAGGUAGUUGGUGAGGUAAAGGCUCACAAGCCUUCGGAUCUGUAGCUGGUCUGAGAGGACCGACAGCCACGACUGGGACUGACGACGACGCCCGAGACUCCGUAGGGAGGCAGCAGGUGGGGAAUUUGGGACAAGUGGGACGAAA